ensembl:snRNA U6 U6 spliceosomal RNA
GUUUUGACUUAGUAAGAAUGUAUACUAAAAUUGGAACAAUUCAGUGAAGUUUAGCAUGGCCUUGCACAAGGGUGAGGUUCAAAUUCAUGAAACGGCCAGUGUUUCA